AGGGCUAGGAUUAGGGUUGGUAGAGAGUUGAAAUGUUACUGAUAGUCUGGGUUAAGGUUAGGGCUAGGGUUAGGGUUGGUAGAGAGUUGAAAUGUUACUGAUAGUCUGGGUUAAGGUUAGGGCUAGGGUUAGGGUUGGUAGAGAGUUGAAAUGUUACUGAUAGUCUGGGUCAAGGUUAGGGCUAGGGUUAGGGUUGGUAGAGAGUUGACAUGUUACUGAUAGUCUGGGUUAAGGUUAGGGCUAGGGUUAGGGUUGGUAGAGAGUUGACAUGUUACUGAUAGUCUGGGUUAAGGUUAGGGCUAGGGUUAGGGUUGGUAGAGAGUUGAAAUGUUACUGAUAGUCUGGGUUAAGGUUAGGGCUAGGGUUAGGGUUGGUAGAGAGUUGAAAUGUUACUGAUAGUCUGGGUCAAGGUUAGGGCUAGGGUUAGGGUUGGUAGAGAGUUGAAAUGUUACUGAUAGUCUGGGUUAAGGUUAGGGCUAGGGUUAGGGUUGGUAGAGAGUUGAAAUGUUACUGAUAGUCUGGGUUAAGGUUAGGGCUAGGGUUAGGGUUGGUAGAGAGUUGACAUGUUACUGAUAGUCUGGGUUAAGGUUAGGGCUAGGAUUAGGGUUGGUAGAGAGUUGAAAUGUUACUGAUAGUCUGGGUUAAGGUUAGGGCUAGGAUUAGGGUUGGUAGAGAGUUGACAUGUUACUGAUAGUCUGGGUUAAGGUUAGGGCUAGGGUUAGGGUUGGUAGAGAGUUGAAAUGUUACUGAUAGUCUGGGUUAAGGUUAGGGCUAGGGUUAGGGUUGGUAGAGAGUUGAAAUGUUACUGAUAGUCUGGGUCAAGGUUAGGGCUAGGGUUAGGGUUGGUAGAGAGUUGACAUGUUACUGAUAGUCUGGGUUAAGGUUAGGGCUAGGGUUAGGGUUGGUAGAGAGUUGACAUGUUACUGAUAGUCUGGGUUAAGGUUAGGGCUAGGGUUAGGGUUGGUAGAGAGUUGAAAUGUUACUGAUAGUCUGGGUUAAGGUUAGGGCUAGGGUUAGGGUUGGUAGAGAGUUGAAAUGUUACUGAUAGUCUGGGUUAAGGUUAGGGCUAGGGUUAGGGUUGGUAGAGAGUUGAAAUGUUACUGAUAGUCUGGGUUAAGGUUAGGGCUAGGAUUAGGGUUGGUAGAGAGUUGAAAUGUUACUGAUAGUCUGGGUUAAGGUUAGGGCUAGGGUUAG